GAUGAACGCUGGCGGCGUGCCUAAUACAUGCAAGUCGAGCGAACAGAUGAGGAGCUUGCUCCUCUGACGUUAGCGGCGGACGGGUGAGUAACACGUGGAUAACCUACCUAUAAGACUGGGAUAACUACGGGAAACCGGAGCUAAUACCGGAUAAUAUAUUGAACCGCAUGGUUCAAUAGUGAAAGACGGUUUUGCUGUCACUUAUAGAUGGAUCCGCGCCGCAUUAGCUAGUUGGUAAGGUAACGGCUUACCAAGGCAACGAUGCGUAGCCGACCUGAGAGGGCGAUCGGCCACACUGGAACUGAGACACGGUCCAGACUCCUACGGGAGGCAGCAGUAGGGAAUCUUCCGCAAUGGGCGAAAGCCUGACGGAGCAACGCCGCGUGAGUGAUGAAGGUCUUCGGAUCGUAAAACUCUGUUAUUAGGGAAGAACAAAUGUGUAAGUAACUAUGCACGUCUUGACGGUACCUAAUCAGAAAGCCACGGCUAACUACGUG
rnacentral:rRNA from 1 species